UGAGUUUGAUCCUGGCUCAGAACGAACGCUGGCGGCGUGCCUAAUACAUGCAAGUCGAACGAGAAAAUCCGGCUUCGGCUGGGUGAGUAAAGUGGCGAACGGGUGAGUAACACGUGGGUAAUCUUCCCUUAAGUCUGGGAUAAGCCUUCGAAAGGAGGUCUAAUACCGGAUAAAAUCUUAAGAUGGCAUCUUCUUUUGAUCAAAGGCGGGGCAACCUGUCGCUUAUGGAUGAGCCCGCGCUCCAUUAGCUUGUUGGCGGGGUAACGGCCCACCAAGGCUCUGAUAGAUAGCCGGCCUGAGAGGGUGAACGGCCACACUGGGACUGAGAUACGGCCCAGACUCCUACGGGAGGCAGCAGUAGGGAAUAUUGCGCAAUGGACGAAAGUCUGACGCAGCAACGCCGCGUGGAUGAUGAAGCACUUCGGUGCGUAAAAUCCUGUCAGUGGGGACGAAACGGUCAGGUAGUAACUGCCCUGGCCCUGACGGUACCUGCAAAGGAAGUUCCGGCUAACUCCGUGCCAGCAGCCGCGGUAAUACGGGGGGAACGAGCGUUGUUCGGAUUUACUGGGCGUAAAGGGCGUGCAGGCGGAUUGGCAAGUCAGGGGUGAAAACCGUAGGCUUAACCUACGGCCUGCCUUUGAAACUGCCAUCUUUGAGUACCGGGGGAGGAAAGCGGAAUUCCAGGUGUAGCGGUGACAUGCGUAGAUAUCUGGAAGAACAUCGGUGGCGAAGGCGGCUUUCUGGACCGAUACUGACGCUGAGCGCGAAAGCCAGGGGAGCAAACAGAAUUAGAUACUCUGGUAGUCCUGGCUGUAAACGAUGGGCACUAGGUGUUGAGGGUAUCGACCCCCUCAGUGCCGCAGCUAACGCAUUAAGUGCCCCGCCUGGGGAGUACGAUCGCAAGGUUGAAACUCAAAAGAAUUGACGGGGCCCCGCACAAGCGGUGGAGUAUGUGGUUCAAUUCGAGGCAACGCGAAGAACCUUACCUGGGUUUGACAUACACCAGACCGCGGCUGAAAAGUCGUUUUCCCUUCGGGGACUGGUGAACAGGUGCUGCAUGGCUGUCGUCAGCUCGUGCCGUGAGGUGUUGGGUUAAGUCCCGCAACGAGCGCAACCCUCGUCCUUAGUUGCCAUCAGGUUAUGCUGGGAACUCUAAGGAUACUGCCGGUGACAAACCGGAGGAAGGUGGGGAUGACGUCAAGUCCUCAUGGCCCUUACAUCCAGGGCUACACACGUACUACAAUGGCCGGUACAGAAGGGUGCAAGACCGCGAGGUGGAGCAAAUCCCAAAAACCGGUCUCAGUUCGGAUUGGAGUCUGCAACUCGACUCCAUGAAGUCGGAAUCGCUAGUAAUCGCGCAUCAGCAUGGCGCGGUGAAUACGUUCCCGGGGCUUGUACACACCGCCCGUCAAGCCACGGAAGUCCGUUGCACCAGAAGUUGCUAGGCUAGCCCUUUUGGGAGGCAGGCACCUAAGGUGUGGCUGAUGAUUGGGGUGAAGUCGUAACAAGGUAGCCGUAGGGGAACCUGCGGCUGGAUCACCUCCUUUCU
rnacentral:rRNA from 1 species